rnacentral:rRNA from 1 species
ACUGAACGCUGGCGGCAGGCCUAACACAUGCAAGUCGAGCGGAUGAAGGGAGCUUGCUCCUGGAUUCAGCGGCGGACGGGUGAGUAAUGCCUAGGAAUCUGCCUGGUAGUGGGGGAUAACGUCCGGAAACGGGCGCUAAUACCGCAUACGUCCUGAGGGAGAAAGUGGGGGAUCUUCGGACCUCACGCUAUCAGAUGAGCCUAGGUCGGAUUAGCUAGUUGGUGGGGUAAAGGCCUACCAAGGCGACGAUCCGUAACUGGUCUGAGAGGAUGAUCAGUCACACUGGAACUGAGACACGGUCCAGACUCCUACGGGAGGCAGCAGUGGGGAAUAUUGGACAAUGGGCGAAAGCCUGAUCCAGCCAUGCCGCGUGUGUGAAGAAGGUCUUCGGAUUGUAAAGCACUUUAAGUUGGGAGGAAGGGCAGUAAGUUAAUACCUUGCUGUUUUGACGUUACCAACAGAAUAAGCACCGGCUAACUUCGU